ACGGAAGGCAGCAGUGGGGAAUAUUGCACAAUGGGCGAAAGCCUGAUGCAGCGACGCCGCGUGAGUGAAGAAGUAUCUCGGUAUGUAAAGCUCUAUCAGCAGGGAAGAAAAUGACGGUACCUGACUAAGAAGCCCCGGCUAACUACGUGCCAGCAGCCGCGGUAAUACGUAGGGGGCAAGCGUUAUCCGGAUUUACUGGGUGUAAAGGGAGCGUAGACGGUUUGGCAAGUCUGAAGUGAAAUGCGGGGGCUAAACUCCUGAACUGCUUUGGAAACUGUCGAACUAGAGUGCAGGAGAGGUAAGUGGAAUUCCUAGUGUAGCGGUGAAAUGCGUAGAUAUUAGGAGGAACACCAGUGGCGAAGGCGGCUUACUGGACUGUAACUGACGUUGAGGCUCGAAAGCGUGGGGAGCAAACAGGAUUAGAUACCCUGGUA
rnacentral:rRNA from 1 species